rfam:Streptomyces ambofaciens ATCC 23877, complete genome.
GGCCAAGUUUUUAAGGGCGCACGGUGGAUGCCUUGGCACCAGGAACCGAUGAAGGACGUGGGAGGCCACGAUAGUCCCCGGGGAGCCGUCAACCAGGCUUUGAUCCGGGGGUUUCCGAAUGGGGAAACCCGGCAGUCGUCAUGGGCUGUCACCCGCUGCUGAACACAUAGGCAGUGUGGAGGGAACGCGGGGAAGUGAAACAUCUCAGUACCCGCAGGAAGAGAAAACAACCGUGAUUCCGGGAGUAGUGGCGAGCGAAACCGGAUGAGGCCAAACCGUAUACGUGUGAGACCCGGCAGGGGUUGCGUGUGCGGGGUUGUGGGAUCUCUCUUUCACAGUCUGCCGGCUGUGAGGCGAGUCAGAAACCGUUGAUGUAGGCGAAGGACAUGCGAAAGGUCCGGCGUAGAGGGUAAGACCCCCGUAGUCGAAACAUCAGCGGCUCGUUUGAGAGACACCCAAGUAGCACGGGGCCCGAGAAAUCCCGUGUGAAUCUGGCGGGACCACCCGCUAAGCCUAAAUAUUCCCUGGUGACCGAUAGCGGAUAGUACCGUGAGGGAAUGGUGAAAAGUACCGCGGGAGCGGAGUGAAAUAGUACCUGAAACCGUGUGCCUACAAGCCGUGGGAGCGUCGGACAUCAAGCUUGCUUGGUGUCUCGUGACUGCGUGCCUUUUGAAGAAUGAGCCUGCGAGUUUGCGGUGUGUUGCGAGGUUAACCCGAGUGGGGAAGCCGUAGCGAAAGCGAGUCCGAAUAGGGCGUUUCAGUAGCACGCUCAAGACCCGAAGCGGAGUGAUCUAGCCAUGGGCAGGUUGAAGCGGAGGUAAGACUUCGUGGAGGACCGAACCCACCAGGGUUGAAAACCUGGGGGAUGACCUGUGGUUAGGGGUGAAAGGCCAAUCAAACUCCGUGAUAGCUGGUUCUCCCCGAAAUGCAUUUAGGUGCAGCGUCGUGUGUUUCUUGCCGGAGGUAGAGCACUGGAUAGGCGAUGGGCCCUACCGGGUUACUGACCUUAGCCAAACUCCGAAUGCCGGUAAGUGAGAGCGCGGCAGUGAGACUGUGGGGGAUAAGCUCCAUGGUCGAGAGGGAAACAGCCCAGAGCAUCGACUAAGGCCCCUAAGCGUACGCUAAGUGGGAAAGGAUGUGGAGUCGCACAGACAACCAGGAGGUUGGCUUAGAAGCAGCCACCCUUGAAAGAGUGCGUAAUAGCUCACUGGUCUAGUGAUUCCGCGCCGACAAUGUAGCGGGGCUCAAGCGUACCGCCGAAGUCGUGUCAUUCAUACAAUAGGGCCAACGCCUGUAUGGAUGGGUAGGGGAGCGUCGUGUGCCGGGUGAAGCAGCCGCGGAAGCGAGUUGUGGACGGUUCACGAGUGAGAAUGCAGGCAUGAGUAGCGAUACAAACGUGAGAAACGUUUGCGCCGAUUGACUAAGGGUUCCUGGGUCAAGCUGAUCUGCCCAGGGUAAGUCGGGACCUAAGGCGAGGCCGACAGGCGUAGUCGAUGGAUAACCGGUUGAUAUUCCGGUACCCGCUGUGAAGCGUCAAACAUCGAGCAUCGUGAUGCUAAGGCCGUGAAGCCGCCCUGAUCUCUUCGGAGUUGAGGGGAGUGGUGGAGCCGCCGAACCAAGCGGUUAGUAGGUGAGUGAUGGGGUGACGCAGGAAGGUAGUCCAUCCCGGGCGGUGGUUGUCCCGGGGUAAGGGUGUAGGACGUCAGGUAGGUAAAUCCGCCUGGCAAUAGUCUGAGACCUGAUGCCGAGCCGAUUGUGGUGAAGUGGAUGAUCCUAUGCUGUCGAGAAAAGCCUCUAGCGAGUUUCAUGGCGGCCCGUACCCUAAACCGACUCAGGUGGUCAGGUAGAGAAUACCGAGGCGUUCGGGUGAACUAUGGUUAAGGAACUCGGCAAAAUGCCCCCGUAACUUCGGGAGAAGGGGGGCCACACCUGGUGAUGAUCUUUACGGUCUGAGCUGGGGGUGGCCGCAGAGACCAGCGAGAAGCGACUGUUUACUAAAAACACAGGUCCGUGCGAAGCCGUAAGGCGAUGUAUACGGACUGACGCCUGCCCGGUGCUGGAACGUUAAGGGGACCGGUUAGCUCCAUUUCGGUGGGGCGAAGCUGAGAACUUAAGCGCCAGUAAACGGCGGUGGUAACUAUAACCAUCCUAAGGUAGCGAAAUUCCUUGUCGGGUAAGUUCCGACCUGCACGAAUGGCGUAACGACUUCUCGACUGUCUCAACCAUAGGCCCGGUGAAAUUGCACUACGAGUAAAGAUGCUCGUUUCGCGCAGCAGGACGGAAAGACCCCGGGACCUUUACUACAGUUUGAUAUUGGUGUUCGGUUCGGCUUGUGUAGGAUAGCUGGGAGACUUUGAAGCUCGCACGCCAGUGUGGGUGGAGUCGUCGUUGAAAUACCAGUCUGGUCGUGCUGGAUGUCUAACCUGGGUCCGUGAUCCGGAUCAGGGACAGUGUCUGAUGGGUAGUUUAACUGGGGCGGUUGCCUCCUAAAGAGUAACGGAGGCGCCCAAAGGUUCCCUCAGCCUGGUUGGCAAUCAGGUGUUGAGUGUAAGUGCACAAGGGAGCUUGACUGUGAGACCGACGGGUCGAGCAGGGACGAAAGUCGGGACUAGUGAUCCGGCGGUGGCUUGUGGAAGCGCCGUCGCUCAACGGAUAAAAGGUACCCCGGGGAUAACAGGCUGAUCUUCCCCAAGAGUCCAUAUCGACGGGAUGGUUUGGCACCUCGAUGUCGGCUCGUCGCAUCCUGGGGCUGGAGUCGGUCCCAAGGGUUGGGCUGUUCGCCCAUUAAAGCGGUACGCGAGCUGGGUUUAGAACGUCGUGAGACAGUUCGGUCCCUAUCCGCUGUGCGCGUAGGAGUCUUGAGAAGGGCUGUCCCUAGUACGAGAGGACCGGGACGGACGAACCUCUGGUGUGCCAGUUGUCCUGCCAAGGGCAUGGCUGGUUGGCUACGUUCGGGAGGGAUAACCGCUGAAAGCAUCUAAGCGGGAAGCCUGCUUCGAGAUGAGGACUCCCACCCCCUUGAGGGGUUAAGGCUCCCAGUAGACGACUGGGUUGAUAGGCCGGAUCUGGAAGCACCGCAAGGUGUGGAGGUGACCGGUACUAAUAGGCCGAGGGCUUGUCCUC